CCUACGGGUGGCAGCAGUGGGGAAUAUUGCACAAUGAGGGAAACCCUGAUGCAGCGACGCCACGUGAGUGAAGAAGUAAUUCGUUACGUAAAGCUCUAUCAGCAGGGAAGAAAAUGAUGGUACCUGAGUCAGAAGCCCCGGGCAACUCCGGGCCAGCAGCCCCGGUAAUACGGCGGGGGCAAGCGUUACCCGGAUUUACUGGGGGUAAAGGGAGCGGAGACGGUUCGCCAAGUAUGGAGUGAAAUGCCGCAGCUUAACUGCGGAACUGCUUUGGAAACUGGCGAACUAGAGUGCGGGAGAGGUAGGCGGAAUUCCUAGUGUAGCGGUGAAAUGCGUAGAUAUCAGGAGGAACACCGGUGGCGAAGGCGGCAUACUGGACCGUAACUGACGUUGAGGCUCGAAAGCGUGGGGAGCAAACAGGAUUAGAUACCCCGGUAGUC
rnacentral:rRNA from 1 species